CUUUUUCAUGUCAUCUAUCCCUCCGGGGUCCGUUAAUUUGUACCAAAGGAGUACAGUACAAAUUUAUGAACUCCGAAGGUGGGAGGACAUAGCCUGAUUA
rnacentral:pre_miRNA from 1 species